CCCGGGCGUCGAACAGUCAGCU
rnacentral:siRNA from 1 species